rnacentral:rRNA from 1 species
AUACGUAGGUGGCAAGCGUUGUCCGGAAUUAUUGGGCGUAAAGCGCGCGCAGGCGGUCCUUUAAGUCUGAUGUGAAAGCCCACGGCUCAACCGUGGAGGGUCAUUGGAAACUGGGUAACUUGAGUGCAGAAGAGGAAAGUGGAAUUCCAAGUGUAGCGGUGAAAUGCGUAGAGAUUUGGAGGAACACCAGUGGCGAAGGCGGCUUUCUGGUCUGUAACUGACGCUGAGGCGCGAAAGCGUGGGGAGCAAACAGGAUUAGAUACCCUGGUAGUCCACGCCGUAAACGAUGAGUGCUAAGUGUUAGGGGGUUUCCGCCCCUUAGUGCUGCAGCUAACGCAUUAAGCACUCCGCCUGGGGAGUACGGUCGCAAGACUGAAACUCAAAUGAAUUGACGGGG